GGCGCACGGGUGAGUAGCGCGUGGGUAAUCUGCCCCUCGGUCAGGAAUAACCCGCCGAAAGGCGGGCUAAUACCCGAUAACACUGACGCUCUGCGGAGUGUCUUUCAAAGAAGGCCUCUGUUUACAAGCUUUCGCCGGAGGAUGAGCCCGCGUACCAUUAGCUAGUUGGCAGGGUAAUGGCCUACCAAGGCAACGAUGGUUAGCUGGUCUGAGAGGAUGGCCAGCCACACUGGAACUGAGACACGGUCCAGACUCCUACGGGAGGCAGCAGUGAGGAAUCUUGCGCAAUGGGGGAAACCCUGACGCAGCAACGCCGCGUGAGUGAGGAAGGCUUUCGGGUCGUAAAGCUCUGUCAGAUGGGAAGAAAUGGAUGGAAGCCAAUACCUUUCAUUCUUGACGGUACCAUCAGAGGAAGCACCGGCUAACUCCGUGCCAGCAGCCGCGGUAAUACGGGGGGUGCAAGCGUUGUUCGGAAUCAUUGGGCGUAAAGCGCGCGCAGGCGGCUUGGUAAGUCAGAUGUGAAAUCCCUGGGCUUAACCCAGGAAGUGCAUUUGAUACUGCCUCGC
rnacentral:rRNA from 1 species